GAUUCCUUCUAUUUUUUGCCGCGGCUUGUAUGAAGCGGCACCACUGUGCGGCGUUUUGUUUUUCGGCAGAAUGCAAGCAACUGUUCAAAUAAAUCAUUCGAAUGGUUCGCUUUCUUUGAGGUGCUCAAAUACCGAAUCACAUUGUGUGCAAAGAAAAAUGUACAAUAUUAGCAGACCUUUAAAACUUAUUAGUCAAUAAUAGUGCGUCCGCACUUUUAUACGCUUGCGCGAGUGUUUGUUUUUUUAUAAAUAGACAUAUGUAUUUAUGUACGAGAUGUGUUGAAAAAGUAUCGCGAUUCGUAACUGACAGUUUUCUUCGAUUGCAGGGGCGUGGUGCAUCAUGAGUUCUUGCCACAGGGAAGAACGGUCAAUAAGGAAUAUUACCUGCAAGUUAUGUGCAAUUUGCGCGAAGCAAUCCGCCAGAAAUUGUCCGGAUUUGUGGAAGAACAAAAAUUGGCUUUUGCACUACGAUAACGCCCCUGCUCACACAUCGUUGCUUGUGCGCGACUUUUUGGGCAAAAACAACACACUAAUGAUGCCGCAGCCAACCUAUUCCCCAGAUCUGCCCCCCUGUGUUCCCUAAACUGAAGAGGACCAUGAAAGGACGACGUUACGCUUCUCUUGACGAGAUAAAGACGGCAUCGAAGGAGGAGCUGAAGAAGUUAAAAAAAAAAAAUAAUUUUUUGAAGUGCUUCGAAGAUUGGAAAAACCGUUGGCACAAGUGUAUAAUACAUAUCUCAUGGGGAUUACUUUGAAGGGGACAAAAUAGAUAUUCAUGAAUAAAUAAAUAAUUUUUGAAAAAACACAAAAUUCGCGAUACUUUUUGAACACACCUCGUACAUACAUACAUGUAUUUGAACAUAUGCAUGAAGGAAAGGCUAUUUUGAGAAUAUUUACAAUCAAAUUGGCCAUUUGAAAACAAUAAAAAUUGUUUGCUAUUUGAGAUCACAAGGCGAAGUGGGCUGGUUAUGCUAGCAACACAUAAAAAGAAAAUAAAAGUAGAAAUAAAUCAGAUAAAAUAACAAUUAAAAUUUAGUAAAUAACAUAUAUUUUAAUAUAAAAAAACUUACUUCAUCGGCGAACUUUCCAUUUCGAAUAUUUUCAAUGCAAUGCGUUCAAAGCAAUACGGUUGUCAUGCAUUCCUUAAUUUUAUACUUUGCCCAAAUUAAUUUCCAUCACAUUUUACAAAUAUUGUACAUGCAUAUACUACGAGUACAUAUGUACAUAAGUACGUAUGCUUUGCAUAUUGAGUUCACGCAAGCAGUCUUCUGUUUCAAUUCAAAAUGGAAGGUUCGCCGUAGAAACCACCAGGAUAGUCAGGAUCAAUGUCACCAGGAUGCGCCAUUUUUUUACACCUGUCUCUCUCCCCCUCUAAUUAAUUUAAUUUUUAACACUGAAGUCUCCGAUUCCGGAUAAAAUAGUGGAAGAUAAAACAGAUUCAAAAGUAAGCCAUCGCCCUUAGCCAAUUAUAAAUAUCGGAAAAUUUUAACCAACCCUUUAUGCGUUCCUUGAUUAACGCAGAUGUAAAAAACCUUACACAUUCAAGCUCACUGGCCCAAGUUCCUGUAAAAUAAAUCUUUCAGAUAGUUCCGUCUACAGAAUACUUACAAGGAAAUUAAACGACUCGAAAACUCCUUGGUACUCGUACGAAGACAAACAAUUGGGUGAUAUACGCGUAAUGGUAAAAGACCUUCAUCACUCAUGUGUGGUUUAAAGUUACGAAAGUCUUAAACAAACUUCAAUACAAAAUAAAAAACCCGUUAAAUAUGUUUAUUGUAUGUUUUGAACCUACAGAGAACAUUAAGAAAAUUUACGAAAUCAAACAUAUUCUAAAUUCUAACGUUAAACUCGAGCCCAUCAAGCCAUCGAAUCUUGUGCCGCAGUGUAAAUCCUGUCAGGCGUUCGGUCACACUAGAAACUAUUGUUACAAGCCACCGAGAUGUAUAAAGUGUGCCGGAAAUCAUUCAACACUAAGCUGCACAAAACCUGCCGAACUACCGCCAAAAUGUUGUAACUGUAGUCAAAAUCACCCUGCGAACUAUAGGGGAUGUGAAGUGACAAAGCAACUUCAAAAAAUUAAAAAUGCAACUGGGAAAAAUAAUGAGCAUAAAUAUGAACCAAAACGCUUAAGUCCAACCACUUCCACUGUUCCUCAGAAAGAAGACACUACUGUAAAUCAUCAAUCUGGAAAGCCCUCAUUUGCCAGCAUAACUAAAGGUGCUCAUAAAGCUCAACAACAUCUGUCUGAAAAUCAAACAAAUACGUAUGCCACUGGGGAUAUUACUGGUAAUUUUUCGUUAAUUCUCAACACUCUUAAUAAGCUAGAAGAACAAAAUAGACUUACCCACGAACGUGUUACUAAACUUGAGCGCAAAAAUGAAACCGAUGAAAAUUAUGACCUGGAAUGCAAACGGCUUGCUCAAACGCAGUAAACAAUUAGAGACAUUACUCCAUGUUGAAAAAAUUGAUAUUUGUCGUAUAUCAGAAACCCAUUUUAUAAAUGAGACUUUUGUUAGAUUCAAAAACUAUAAGACGUAUUGCUCGAAUCACCCAAACAAUAUUCCCCACUACGAAGAAA